rnacentral:rRNA from 1 species
UACGAAGGGUGCAAGCGUUACUCGGAAUUACUGGGCGUAAAGCGUGCGUAGGUGGUUUGUUAAGUCUGAUGGGAAAGCCCUGGGCUCAACCUGGGAAUGGCAUUGGAUACUGGCAGUCUAGAGUGCGGUAGAGGGUAGCGGAAUUCCCGGUGUAGCAGUGAAAUGCGUAGAUAUCGGGAGGAACAUCCGUGGCGAAGGCGGCUACCUGGACCAGCACUGACACUGAGGCACGAAAGCGUGGGGAGCAAACAGG